rnacentral:rRNA from 1 species
AUUGAACGCUGGCGGCAGGCCUAACACAUGCAAGUCGAGCGGAUGAAGGGAGCUUGCUCCUGGAUUCAGCGGCGGACGGGUGAGUAAUGCCUAGGAAUCUGCCUGGUAGUGGGGGAUAACGUCCGGAAACGGGCGCUAAUACCGCAUACGUCCUGAGGGAGAAAGUGGGGGAUCUUCGGACCUCACGCUAUCAGAUGAGCCUAGGUCGGAUUAGCUAGUUGGUGGGGUAAAGGCCUACCAAGGCGACGAUCCGUAACUGGUCUGAGAGGAUGAUCAGUCACACUGGAACUGAGACACGGUCCAGACUCCUACGGGAGGCAGCAGUAGGGAAUAUUGGACAAUGGGCGAAAGCCUGAUCCAGCCAUGCCGCGUGAGUGAAGAAGGUCUUCGGAUUGUAAAGCACUUUAAGUUGAGAAGAAGAGCAGUAAGUUAAUACCUUGCUGUUUUGACGUUACCAACAGAAUAAGCACCGGCUAACUUCGUG